rnacentral:rRNA from 1 species
GGCGUGGACUACCAGGGUAUCUAAUCUGUUGCUCCCUAMGSURRUCGUGCCUCAGCGUCAACUAUGGUCUAGUACCCCGCCUUCGCCUCCGGUGUUCUGUGUGAUAUCUAUGCAUUUCACCGCUACACCACACAUUCCAGGUACCCCUCCCAUGUKCUUAGUUAUACAGUAUCGCCAGCACUACUACAGUUGAGCCGUAGCCUUUCACUGACAACUUAUAUAACCGCCUACGCACCCUUUAAACCCAGUAAUUCCGAAUAACGCUUGCACCCUCCGUAUUACCGCGGCUGCUGGCACGGAGUUAGCCGGUGCUUUUUGCUAUACUACCUUCCUAUUAGUAACUCGUACUAAYYUYUAUUCKUAUAGUAAAGAAGUUUACAACCCAUAAGGCCGUCUUCCUUCACGCGGCAUGGCUGGGUCAGGCUUUCGCCCAUUGCCCAAUAUUCCCUACUGCUGCCUCCCGUAGGAGUCUGGACCGUAUCUCAGUUCCAAUGUGGGGGAUCUCUCUCUCAAAACCCCUAACCAUCUUCGCCUUGGUGAGCCCUUACCUCACCAACUAGCUAAUGGUCAGUAGGCCCAUCUCAUACCGCAUACUCUCGUAUACUUUGAUUAUAUGCCUCUAUUCAUAUAACCUCAUGGGGUAUUACCACAGAUUUCUCUAUGCUAUCCCCCUGUAUGAGGUAGGUCUCCUACCUUUUACUCACCCGUCCGCCGGUCGCCAUCAAUAUACUUGCGUAUAUCAUGCUGCCCUCAACUUGCAUGUAUUAAGCCUGCCGCUAGCGUUCAUCUGAGCCAGGAUCAA